rnacentral:misc_RNA from 1 species
GUCGUAACAAGGUUUCCGUAGGUGAACCUGCGGAAGGAUCAUUACCACACCUAAAAACUUUCCACGUGAACUGUCGUUAUUUGUUGUGUGUCUGCGCGUUGCUGGCGUGCGUUUGCUUACGCUUCGGUGUUUGCGAGUGCGUGCUGGCGGUGCGCGGACUGAACGAAGGUCGUGUUGCUGUGUGCCUGCUGCACUGCUGACUUUGCAUUGAUUUGCAUGGUCUUGGCGGAGCGGCGGGUGCUGUGCGUGCGCGGCUGACUUACUUUUUCAAACCCCAUACCUAACUUACUGAUUAUACUGUGAGAACGAAAGUUCUUGCUUUUAACUAGAUAACAACUUUCAGCAGUGGAUGUCUAGGCUC